rnacentral:tRNA from 1 species
GGUUCGGUGGUGUAGUUGGUUUAUCACGUCAGUCUAACAUCUAAUAUCUUGUCAGGAGAGUUGGAGUUCACUGAAGGUCGGGAGUUCGAGCCUCCCCUGAAUCA